AUUGAACGCUGGCGGCAGGCCUAACACAUGCAAGUCGAGCGCGCGGCGGACGGGUGUGUAAUGUCUUGGAAACUGCCUGAUGGAGGGGGAUAACUACUGGAAACGGUAGCUCAUACCGCAUACCAUCAGAUGUGCCCCGAUGGGAUUAGCUAUUAGGUGGGGUAAUGGCUCACCUAGGCGACGAUCCCUAGCUGGUCUGAGAGGAUGACCAGCAACACUGGAACUGAGACACGGUCCAGACUCCUACGGGAGGCAGCAGUGGGGAAUAUUGCACAAUGGGCGCAAGCCUGAUACAGCCAUGCCGCGUGAGUGAAGAAGGCCUUCGGGUUGUAAAGCACUUUCGGUGGCGAGGCGUUAACCACAGAAGAAGCACCGGCUAACUCCGUGCCAGCAGCCGCGGUAAUAC
rnacentral:rRNA from 1 species